rnacentral:rRNA from 1 species
UACGAAGGGGGCUAGCGUUGCUCGGAAUUACUGGGCGUAAAGCGCAUGUAGGCGGCUCUUUAAGUCGGGGGUGAAAUCCUGGAGCUCAACUCCAGAACUGCCUUCGAUACUGAAGAGCUUGAGUCCGGGAGAGGUGAGUGGAACUGCGAGUGUAGAGGUGAAAUUCGUAGAUAUUCGCAAGAACACCAGUGGCGAAGGCGGCUCACUGGCCCGGUACUGACGCUGAGGUGCGAAAGCGUGGGAGCAAACAGG